rnacentral:rRNA from 1 species
ACGGGUGAGGAAUACAUCGGAAUCUGCCUUAUUGUGGGGGAUAACGUAGGGAAACUUACGCUAAUACCGCAUAAGACCGAAAGGUGAAAGUGGGGGACCGCAAGGCCUCACGCGAUAAGAUGAGCCGAUGUCGGAUUAGCUAGUUGGUGAGGUAAUGGCUCACCAAGGCGACGAUCCGUAGCUGGUCUGAGAGGAUGAUCAGCCACACUGGAACUGAGACACGGUCCAGACUCCUACGGGAGGCAGCAGUGGGGAAUAUUGGACAAUGGGCGCAAGCCUGAUCCAGCCAUGCCGCGUGGGUGAAGAAGGCCUUCGGGUUGUAAAGCCCUUUUGUUGGGGAAGAAAUCGUACGGGGUAAUAUCCCGUGCGGAUGACGGUACCCAAAGAAUAAGCACCGGCUAACUUCGUGCCAGCAGCCGCGGUAAUACGAAGGGUGCAAGCGUUACUCGGAAUUACUGGGCGUAAAGCGUGCGUAGGCGGUUCGUUAAGUCUGUCGUGAAAGCCCUGGGCUCAACCUGGGAAUUGCGAUGGAUACUGGCGAGCUAGAGUACGGUAGAGGAUGGUGGAAUUCCCGGUGUAGCGGU